rnacentral:rRNA from 1 species
CAAUAGCGUAUAUUAAAGUUGUUGCAGUUAAAAAGCUCGUAGUUGGAUUUCUGGUGGGAGCGAUCGGUCUGGCGCUUAGCGCGAGUACUUGCAUCGUCUCCGGCCAUCCUUGGGGAGAGUCUGUCUGGCAUUAGGUUGUCGGGCAGAGGAUCCUCAUCGUUUACUGUGAAAAAAUUAGAGUGUUCAAAGCAGGCUUAUGCCGUUGAAUAUAUUAGCAUGGAAUAAUAAGAUAGGACUUUGGUACUAUUUUGUUGGUUUGCGCACCAAAGUAAUGAUUAAUAGGGACAGUUGGGGGUAUUCGUAUUCCGUUGUCAGAGGUGAAAUUCUUGGAUUUACGGAAGACGAACUACUGCGAAAGCAUUUACCAAGGAUGUUNUCAUUNA